rnacentral:misc_RNA from 1 species
AAAAAAAAAAAAAAUCAUAGAACUAAAGUAACUAAUAUAGCAGUUGCCUAUUAGUAAUUCUGGAAAAACAUAAAGUUGAAACCACAGCAGACUUUCCUAAACAGCCAUUAAAAUAAUAUUCGCUUCUAAAACUUUAGUAAAUUCCAAGCAUAAAUAUUAAAUAGGGACAACAUAAAGAUAAUAAAUAAAAAGCAUUAGAUUCAUGCAAUUUAGCAAAUUAACUCAGAUGAAUUCUAACACAGCCUUAAUUCAAAAGUAGUUGCGCUCACCUAUAUGAACCAGGUUUAGGGCUACAUAUUCAGAGAUAUCCAAGACUGCUAAAUUUCAAGUUACCCCAAUUCAAUCCUACGCCAAACAAUUCUGGAUCCAAAUCAUAUUUUA